rnacentral:RNase_P_RNA from 1 species
UGAGUCGGCCGGGCGGCCGCGCCGGGCUCCGCGCCCGGUGAGGAAGGUCCGGGCUCCGCAGGGCGGGGUGGUCGGUAACGCCGACCCGGGGUGACCCGCGGGAAAGUGCCACAGAAAGCAAACCGCCUCCGCGGUUACCGCGGGGGUAAGGGUGAAACGGUGGUGUAAGAGACCACCAGCGCCGCAGGUGACUGCGGCGGCUCGGUAAACCCCACCCGGAGCAAGGUCAAGAGGGGAGCCGCGGCUCCCUGCGCGAGCGAUCGAGGGUGGCCCGCCCGAUGCUCGCGGGUAGACCGCACGAGGCUGCCGGCAACGGCAGUCCCAGAUGGAUGGCCGCCGCCCCGCGCAAGCGGGGGCACAGAACCCGGCCUACAGGCCGGCUCACCCG